rnacentral:ncRNA from 1 species
UAUAGGGGCGAAAGACCAAUCGAACCAUCUAGUAUCUGGUUCCUUCCGAAGUUUCCCUCAGGAUAGCUGGUGCAUUUUAAUAUUAUAUAAAAUAAUCUUAUCUGGUAAAGCGAAUGAUUAGAGGCCUUAGGGUCGAAACGAUCUUAACCUAUUCUCAAACUUUAAAUGGGUGAGAACCUUAACUUUCUUGAUAUGAAGUUCAAGGUUAUGAUAUAAUGUGCCCAGUGGGCCACUUUUGGUAAGCAGAACUGGCGCUGUGGGAUGAACCAAACGUAAUGUUACGGUGCCCAAAUUAACAACUCAUGCAGAUACCAUGAAAGGCGUUGGUUGCUUAAAACAGCAGGACGGUGAUCAUGGAAGUCGAAAUCCGCUAAGGAGUGUGUAACAACUCACCUGCCGAAGCAACUAGCCCUUAAAAUGGAUGGCGCUUAAGUUGUAUACCUAUACAUUACCGCUAAAGUAGAUGAUUUAUAUUACUUGUGAUAUAAAUUUUGAAACUUUAGUGAGUAGGAAGGUACAAUGGUAUGCGUAGAAGUGUUUGGCGUAAGCCUGCAUGGAGCUGCCAUUGGUACAGAUCUUGGUGGUAGUAGCAAAUAAUCGAAUGAGACCUUGGAGGACUGAAGUGGAGAAGGGUUUCGUGUGAACAGUGGUUGAUCACGAGUUAGUCGGUCCUAAGUUCAAGGCGAAAGCCGAAAAUUUUCAAGUAAAACAAAAAUGCCUAACUAUAUAAACAAAGCGAAUAUAAUACACUUGAAUAAUUUUGAACGAAAGGGAUACGGUUCCAAUUCCGUAACCUGUUGAGUAUCCGUUUGUUAUUAAAUAUGGGCCUCGUGCUCAUCCUGGCCAACAGGAACGACCAUAAAGAAGCCGUCGAGAGAUAUCGGAAGAGUUUUCUUUUCUGUUUUAUAGCCGUACUACCAUGGAAGUCUUUCGCAGAGAGAUAUGGUAGAUGGGCUAGAAGAGCAUGACAUAUACUGUUGUGUCGAUAUUUUCUCCUCGGACCUUGAAAAUUUAUGGUGGGGACACGCAAACUUCUCAACAGGCCGUACCAAUAUCCGCAGCUGGUCUCCAAGGUGAAGAGUCUCUAGUCGAUAGAAUAAUGUAGGUAAGGGAAGUCGGCAAAUUAGAUCCGUAACUUCGGGAUAAGGAUUGGCUCUGAAGAUUGAGAUAGUCGGGCUUGAUUGGGAAACAAUAACAUGGUUUAUGUGCUCGUUCUGGGUAAAUAGAGUUUCUAGCAUUUAUGUUAGUUACUUGUUCCCCGGAUAGUUUAGUUACGUAGCCAAUUGUGGAACUUUCUUGCUAAAAUUUUUAAGAAUACUAUUUGGGUUAAACCAAUUAGUUCUUAUCAAUUAUAACGAUUAUCAAUUAACAAUCAAUUCAGAACUGGCACGGACUUGGGGAAUCCGACUGUCUAAUUAAAACAAAGCAUUGUGAUGGCCCUAGCGGGUGUUGACACAAUGUGAUUUCUGCCCAGUGCUCUGAAUGUCAAAGUGAAGAAAUUCAAGUAAGCGCGGGUCAACGGCGGGAGUAACUAUGACUCUCUUAAGGUCGAAGCGACCGCAAGACUUUCGUCCAAUAUCGGUGCCUUCAGUCCUGGUAAGACAGCUAAAUGCAAUAUUGGCAACCCGGU